GUGGAUGGAGGGGAAGAACCCAGGAUUGACCCUGCCUCUCCAGUAUGAACUGUACCUUUCAGGGACCAAAGAGUUGAUGAGGGGAAGUUUGCCUUUAGAUAGGUAAAUGAAGGGUUUAUAAUAAAAGCUGCCGUCCACUGGCUGGAAGGAGGCAAAGGGAGAGCUGAAGAUGGAGCCCACUAGUUUCAUCCUGGAGAGCACCCAGCAGGUUCCCAGAAGUGUGUCACAGCAGAUGCCCGCCCUAAGCUCCAAGACAAGCGAAGGAGCCUAUCUGGUGCAUAGUCCAGCAUCCCUCCGUCAGCGACUUCCCUGCUGGACCCUGGGCCUGAGUCUGUGAAAAUCCUGAGAUCUAGCAGUGGAGCCUGUGGGACAUGCUAAAUGUGCGCAGUGUCUGCCUGUGCCCUUCCACUGGCGUCUCCGCCUUCUUUAGGACCUGUCUGCAGCAUCUCCGCAUCACAGUUCCUCGGAGGGCACUGAUGAGUCCUGUGAGUCACACAGGACACGCGUCGGGGAGGGGAGGAGCAGCGCUCUCUAAAAUGCUGCUGAGCCUCAAAGAAGAAACUGGUGGACUCUCUGAACUCGUGCUGAUUCAGCCGGACAGUCUCUACUCGCCACUCUGUAUGGGAACCUUGCCUCUGCUCCAGGAAAUGCCUAAGUUCACGGGUAGUAAGUGGUAGUGGUGAUGGAGUUAAUCAACUAGGUACUAUCUGGAAAUAUACAUUCUAAAGGGCUAACUACCCACCUGAUCCUCUAGAUAAACGGUGUCUUCGGAUGUCCCUGGGCUUCAUACAAGGAAUUCUGUCCUCUGCAGUUCAAAUAAGAUGAAUAUAAAUGUCUUCCCUGCUCAUUCACUCUCGUUGCUGUUCCUUGCUGGCCUUAGGUUUCACCUGGCAAAAGGUCAAAGGCCCUAGUUUAUUUCGAGUUCCAAACCUACACUUGGAAUUGGAAUUGGUGUAAAGUACGCCAAUUUCUAGGAAUUUUCCUCAGAGAAGAAAACAGUUGGCUCCUUCCUGGGAUCAUACACUAACGUAAUUCCGGUAUUCAGGACCUGGGGAGCAGUUCCUUCAGUUCAAUCCCCACACACGAGUUUUCCAGGCUGAGGACAGCUGGUAGGGGGCCGUCCAUCCUUCAAAGUCUCUGAAGGUUAUCUGUAUGGAUCAUAAGGAGGAAAAUGUCCACUUACGAUUCAGCAGUUUUGCUAUUUUAAUCCCUGCCAUAAGAGUCAGUGAUAGCCAGAGGGAUAUAAACAGAUCAGUAUAUAAAUAAAUAACCCCUCCUUUUGUGUUUACUCAUUCACCAAGCCUUUAUUGGCGCUUGUUGUAAUCAAAGCAUUGUCCUGCGUACUCUGGGAAAGCAGUCGCUAACCCUGCUCUUCAAACAUCAAGGGGCGACAGUCUCGUGGAGACAGAGAGAGACGAGCAAACAGCUAAGUACAAAGCAGAAUAUGAUAAAUCAUGUAACUGAGAAAGAAGCAGCAAAAAAUGAACAGAGAAUUAAUUCCAGCUUGGGAAAACUUAUGAAAGAGGUAAUUUUGAGCUCAGCCUUGAGAGAUAGUUGGUGGAGAAGAAUUAUAGACAAUAUAUAAAGCUGAAAGGAAAAAUUCAUGAGCAAAAGCGUGGAGGUGUGGAAGUCCACAAUGGUUAGGUUCUGGAAGAUUAGCUGAUGACGUGGAAAGGGAAGAACGUGAGGAGAUACUGAUAUCGGAGAAAGCAGAUGGAACUUGUGUGUGGUGAUUCCCACAUGCUGUCAUGAGGAUUUGGGACUUGUCCUCAGGCCAUAAAAACUUUUUGAAAGGUUUUGAAGAAGGAGUGACAUGUUCUGACUUGUGUAAUGAGAAUGACUGUCCUAAAUAUUAAUAUAGCAGGGGGUGAGAUUGGUCAUGAGGCUAUCACCCACUGUAAACAAGAGAGGCUGAGAUUCAAAGGGAGCGUGAAUAAGUCCACUUCUUCCCCUAAGAUAGAAAGAAUUGAGUCGAGGAUCAGUCGAGAGAAGGAGUAAUAUGGAGGGCAUAUGAAGGACUCACUUUAGGUUCCCUCAUCCUUCUUAAUGAAGUAGCCAGCAAGGAAAACAGCUAAGAGCCCCCCGGUACAUAGUUGUGUAUUCUUCGUUGUGGGUUCUUCUAGUUGUGGCACGUGGGACGCUGCCUCAGCGUGGUCUGACAAGCAGUGCCAUGUCCGUGCCCAGGAUUCGAACUGACGAAACACUGGGCCGCCUGCAGCGGAGCGCGCGAACUUAACCACUGGGCCAUGGGGCCAGCCCCAAGGGUGAGUUUAUUUUUUAUUUUUAUCUUUUUUAUUUUUAUCUUUUGGUGAGGAAGAUUGUCCCUGAGCUAACAUUUGUGCUAGUUUUCUCUAUUUUGUAUGUGGGAGGCUGCCACAGCAUGGCUUGAUGAGCAGUGUGUAGGUCUACACUCAGUACCCAAACCCGCAAACCCCAGGCUGCCAAAGCAGAGCACAUGAACUAAACCACUAUACCAUCGGGCCAGCCUCUCAAGUGUGAUUUUAAAAACUUCUGUUAAGGGGCCGGCCUGGUUGCUGAGUGGUUAGGGAUGCACGUUCUGCUUUGGCGGCCCAGGGUUGCACCGGUUUGGAUCCUGGGCGUGGAGCUAGUGCCACUCAUCAGGCCAUGCUGAGGUGGCAUCCCACGUGUCACAACUAGAAGGACCCACAACUGAAAAUAUACAACUAUUUACCGGGGGCCUUUGGAGAGAAGAAGGAAAAAUAAAAUCUUAAGGAAGAAAAAAACAACAAACUUCUGUUAAGACAAUAAGCCAGCUAACCUGCUGAGCGCCUAGGUCUCAGACUUUCUUGCCCCUCUAAAGACCCAAUAUUGUAGAUCUCUUUUUGAAGACACUUGACAAAUUAUCAGGCUAUAGCAAGACUAUUCAACUUCCCAUAAGAAUUUCUUUGUAGCCUCUGCUGCAGCAAAUCACCCUUCUUUAUUUCCAAUAAAACAUUUGAAGACAGAAAUCAUAUUCAAAUGUAAUCAUGACAGCAUCGUACCGUUUCUAUACAGGGUCCUGAGUCAUCCUGCGGUAAAUAUUAACCAAUGAGCCAUCAGCGGUUUGAUCUAGUAAGCCAUCCAAGUGCCUUCCUUUUGCCUUAAUAUGUUCACGGCAGCAAAGCCUGCUUCAAAAUGAGAUGCGAAACUUCCUAGCUGACAACGCCAGCUGUGUACAAAUGCUUGGGUAUUUCCCCACGUAAGGGAAAACUGCACUGUUCAUUGAGGCGCUGCAUACCCUCAAUACUGAUAUUCUAGGAAGGAACAAGGUGCGCCUGAAGCAGAGAGGCUGCAUUCACACAGGGGCAACACCCAUUACACUUGACGAGUGUGAAAGAAAUAUUCUGUGACGGACCCUAGGGUCGUCAGCCUCCCGGUGGGGGAAGCGACCUUGUGACCGGCUCAGGAACACUGCUGAGAACUGUGCGUGAAGUCACUCAGCGCUCUUCUCACGGUUCUGAUUUCAAACAGUUGAUGCUCUAGUUUCUAUUUUCUUCUAGAACAGCCUGUUUGUUAGCCCAGAGAGAUGGCAUCAGAACACUUUGAUUCUUGGUUUUCCAGUGAUUCAUACUGUCCUCCAGGUUUAUAGGCUAUUUGUUCCAUCAUUUAUUCAUCUCCUUUUAGGGUCUUGGAACUGGGGGCGGUGCCAGGCAGACAGAGAUAAAUAAAACAAUUUGACUACAUCCUAAUAAGACCCAGUUCAGAUUUCUGAACGCCAAAAAUGUAAGACAAUAAUUUUGUGUUGUUUUAAGCCACUAAAUUUGUGGUCGUGUGUUAUAGCAGCCAUAGGAAAUGAAUCCACCCUCCUUUUCCUGUAAAACUUGCCUUUCUGAAUACUUCAGCACAUUUAGCCAAUCAGGCAUUUUUGCUGGAAAUUGACACUUUUAAUCAGUUUUGUCCUAACUUUGAUUUGAACAUGUAGCAGUUUAAUUACCCUCUUGAAUAUGUGAGUCAUAUCAUUGUCAUAUCUACUGAGAUCUGAAGAAAAGCCAUCUAGCAAUAUUAAUUAUGUGAGAGGAUGGCAUUUCUUUCUCUUAUUUGAAUUAUGUCUCAUCAAUUGGAUUAUCUUGCUUGUGUAAUUAC
ensembl:lncRNA